UCACCCCUCAAGCCCGGCUUGUUGUUGGACGUCGGCGGCGGCCUUUAGUGGCGUACCGCCCGUCUCAAAGAUAAUGACGGCGUCUGUGAGGAUACCUGUACACUGAGCUUUCGGGCACGUACUAGGCUGAUACUUGCAGACCCGGUCUUCGGGUUCGCUUCGGCGUCCCCAACUUUUUUACCAA
rnacentral:misc_RNA from 1 species